rnacentral:lncRNA from 1 species
UGAGGACAGACCUCGGACAGAAAGUCACUGAGGAGUGCCUGAGAAGCAUGUCUCUGGGAGAGGAAGGAGGGUAAGAUUCCCAUUGUCCUAGGAGAAGGAAAUACCCAACCUCUUGUUUGGAUCACCUGGGAAAAACAGUUGUGGGGAGGGAAUGGCCAUGUCACACAAUCCUUCCAAACCUCUGCAACCCCCAGCCAUUCUGCAAACCCUCUGCCAUUCAUGGCACAUGAAUGUUGACGGGAUGUGGGAGAGGCUUGUGUUGAUGGGCCCUGGGUCCUUGGCUUGGAGCCCUUCCCUGGUCUGGGAGAACAUCAGCUUCUACCUUUGUGGCUGCUUUGGGAGUGUGGACUUCAUGCACAACUUAGAUAUGACUCACCGACACCAGCUCCUGCUGGAUAUUCAUGUCUUUCUACCCCAGUCUGCAUACCUGCCCGAGACACCUGUAAGGACUUGGAGCCCCUGGACACAUGUGAAGAAGUUAACUUCACAGCUCUGCUGGAGCACAACUCCAUGAAAUGAGGACAAGCCGUAAUUCCAAGGAGAUUCUACGCUCACCACCCCUCCAUCCCAGCAGUGAGGAAUGUUGUCCCCUCGUCCUGUUCUGUGGUGUGUGGAAAGGCCCAAGACUGGGACUCAGGGCAGUGGGUUCAGAACUCAACUCUGACACUGAAUGGCUGUGUGACCUUGUGUCAGUCUUCUUCCGUCUCUGAACUUGUGUUUCCCCAUCUAUAAAAGAGAGGAGGAGCUGACGAGGCUUGCUUAUUCUACAUCUCUUCUAACUUGGAUAGUCUACGGUUUGAUUUCCAUGUCUCUCCACCAUUGGGUUUUAUCUGAAGCAAAUUUGACCUCCCUUCUCUGGACUUUCCAAAAGGUCUUGGUAUAAUGAACCUUGGGAAGAGAAUAAAUCUAGUUUGGGAUUGGCAAGACUUGUAGAUAUACCUUUUCUGCCUCAGCUUUGAACCCUCAAGCUCCUCCCUCAGGAAGUGAAAUGCAUGACAAAAAAUGUGAAAAUGACCUGUGGAAGGAAAAAGAACUCUUCAACUCUUCCAAGGAAUUCACACUGGCCAAGAUGGGGAACAGUGGAAAGAACAGGGGUUGCACUGUCUGGAGAUGGUAGCCACUAGUUAACAACUUAUUACGGUAACGUCAUAACAGCUGACAUUCUUGGAGUUCUUGCCAUGAACCAGACUCCGUGCUGAGGGCUUACAUCAAUCCUCUCAGUUAACCUCACAGCAAAUCUGUGAGGUAGGAGUUUUAUCAUUGUCUUUAUUUUACAGAUAAGAAACUGACACUUAGGGGCACCUGGGUGGCUCAGCUGGUUAAGCGUCUUCCUCUGGCUCAGGUCAUGAUCCCAGGGUCCUUGAAUGGACCCGGAGAGCCUGUUUCUUCCUCUGCCUGCCCUUCCCCCUGCUUGUGCUCUUUCUCUGUCAAAUAAAUAAAUAAAAUCUCAAAAAAAAAAAAAAAAGAAAAGAAAAGAAAAGAAACUGACACUUAGAAAAUAAAUGGUUGCAAAGACUCCAGAACCUAUUCUUGACUCCUAUCAAUGCAUGGCCUCCAAACCUCUGAUCCUGUUGGGGUACUUGUGGAAGCAUCCAUUGCUCUGGGUCACUGAGAGAUUCUGAAGAGCAGAGCACACUCUGACAGCCUACGUGGAACUUGUGACAGAGGCGAGAAGGACACCUUUGCUGGAGUGAGCCUCCAAGGUCUGAGGGUUGCUUGUUACUGUAGCACAAUGUGGC